GACGAACGCUGGCGGCGUGCCUAACACAUGCAAGUCGAGCGGGGUGAUGACUUCGGUUAUCACUUAGUGGCGAACGGGUGAGUAACGCGUGAGAAACCUGCCUUUCAGUGGGGGACAACAGUUGGAAACGACUGCUAAUACCGCAUAAUGUUAUUUGGGGGCAUCCCUGAAUAACCAAAGAUUUAUAGCUGAAAGAUGGUCUCGCGUCUGAUUAGCUAGAUGGCGGGGUAACGGCCCACCAUGGCGACGAUCAGUAGCCGGUCUGAGAGGAUGAACAGCCACAUUGGGACUGAGAUACGGCCCAGACUCCUACGGGAGGCAGCAGUGGGGAAUAUUGGGCAAUGGGGGAAACCCUGACCCAGCAACGCCGCGUGAAGGAAGAAGGCCUUCGGGUUGUAAACUUCUUUUACCAGGGACGAACAAUGACGGUACCUGGAGAAAAAGCAACGGCUAACUACGUGCCAGCCGCCGCAGUAAAAC
rnacentral:rRNA from 1 species